rnacentral:rRNA from 1 species
GACGAACGCUGGCGGCGUGCUUAACACAUGCAAGUCGAACGGAAAGGCCCUGCUUUUGUGGGGUGCUCGAGUGGCGAACGGGUGAGUAACACGUGAGUAACCUGCCCUUGACUUUGGGAUAACUUCAGGAAACUGGGGCUAAUACCGGAUAGGAGCUCCUGCUGCAUGGUGGGGGUUGGAAAGUUUCGGCGGUUGGGGAUGGACUCGCGGCUUAUCAGCUUGUUGGUGAGGUAGUGGCUUACCAAGGCUUUGACGGGUAGCCGGCCUGAGAGGGUGACCGGCCACAUUGGGACUGAGAUACGGCCCAGACUCCUACGGGCGGCAGCAGUGGGGAAUAUUGCACAAUGGGCGGAAGCCUGAUGCAGCAACGCCGCGUGCGGGAUGACGGCCUUCGGGUUGUAAACCGAUUUCGCCUGUGACGAAGCGUGAGUGACGGUAAUGGGUAAAGAAGCACCGGCUAACUACGUG